rnacentral:rRNA from 1 species
AUCUUCCGCAAUGGACGAAAGUCUGACGGAGCAACGCCGCGUGAGUGAUGAAGGUUUUCGGAUCGUAAAACUCUGUUGUUAGGGAAGAACAAGUAUCGGAGUCACUGCCGGUACCUUGACGUUACCUGACGAGAAAGCCACGGCUAACUACGUGCAAGCAGCCGCGGUAAUCCGUAGGGGGCAAGCGUUGUCCGGAAUUAUUCGGCGUAAAUGGUGCGUAGGCGGCCUUUUAAGUCAGAUGUGGAAUAUUAGGGCUCAACCCUAAUCGUGCAUUUGAAACUGGAGGGCUUGAGUAUCGGAGAGGGUAGUGGAAUUCCCAGUGUAGCGGUGGAAUGCGUAGAUAUUGGGAGGAACACCAGUGGCGAAGGCGACUACCUGGACGAAAACUGACGCUGAGGCACGAAAGCUAGGGGAGCAAACA